rnacentral:lncRNA from 1 species
AGAUUAUUUUUCCAUCUUUGAUAUGUGAAUAGUAAGCUCAGAGGUUGAUUCAUCUGUUCCUUUCUUCAAUGAACAUGUGUUGAGAUCUUCAAUGAACAUGUGUUGAGAUGAAAUGGGCCCUGCCGGGUACUGCAAAAUAAGUGAAGAAGGAAGAUGUGUGGUGCUUGCAAUCUAACGGCUACAUGAAGGAGCUUGGUUCUCAAGUCCCAUAGCUGCAUCAUUCAAAGGAAGUCUCUGAUGGCCAGUGGGGGACAGCGGACACCAGCAGGGGGAAAAGUUCAUUAAGCCUCUUGCUACCGACCUUACUGCAGAACUUCUGUGACAAGGCUACCAUGGAUAUGCAUUUAGGAACAGUGUCUGAUGAUGGAGCCUAGAGGAGAAUCCAAGAUGCUCGUCCAACCUACCUGACAAAUUUCCUCACGGGCUGAGACCAACUUAACCAUCAGCUGGAUGAAUGUAAGGAGGUGGCAGCCUCGUUCCGACCAGACCUCCCAAGGAGGGUUGUGUUUCAGACUGGGGCCCAGAUUGUGUGACAGGCGCUGACACAC